GACUUAUUUGUAUGAUUAGUUGAAUACUUUCCCAUAGUUGCAUCUAGAUUACAGUUAUUUAGGGCCCGCUGGGUAUGCGGAUGGCGAUGGAUAUGAUUCUUGGUCAAUCAAGGUGCAAAAUGCAGGAACCUGCGGAACCAGCACAAUUAUUAGUCAAACCGAUCGUCCUCCGUAACGCUGGAGUUGAAAUCUGGAUAUUUUUGCUGAUCGUAUGGUCUCGCACCGAUGACAGAUCUUUCAAAUAUCUGCCCUAUCAACUAUUGAUGGUAGUAUAUAGGACUACUGUAAAAGUGGUUGUAACGGGUAACGGGGAAUCUGGUUUCGAUUCCGAAGAGGGAGCCUGAAAAGUGGCUACCACAUCCAAGGAAAGCAGCAGGCGCGUAAUCUCCAAAAUCCCGAAACGAGGAGGUAG
rnacentral:ncRNA from 1 species